AGGUGUUCGUCAGGUUCGUUACGGUACGAUAUUCCGCGCGCGACUCUCGCUAGUUCCUUCACCUGUUUAUCGAUUCAACUAAGAUAUGUAAGUGGAUGCCGCACAUCAAGGAAUGAAUGUUCACAUGUAUGUGGUGUAGUGUACUUUUCAACGAAUCGAUUUUUCUCAUGUGCAUUGUGUGAUUUAAAAUUUUAAAUACAUAUCAGUUGGCGAAUACACAUAUAUAAAUAUAUAUGGUUAAUUGGCAACAUCAAAAGCUAUGAAGAUAAUGAUGAAUCAGUGAAUGGAGAAUUUGUUUGGCUGGGUCAAAAGUGCAUAAAAUUGUGAAGCAAGGUUUGAGUGGAUUAUAGUUCUAGGCGGAAAAUAGGAAAAGUCUAUCAGAUAAGCAUGAGUCAACUUGGAACGGUCUAUGCCACAAAGCGGAGGCGCCGCAAUGGAAAAAGUCUCAAAGCACCACCAAAGGAGGGCAUGACAAAGAGUAACCCUUCCAAACGGCAUCGGGAACGCCUCAACGCAGAGCUAGACCUGCUGGCAUCGCUGCUUCCAUUCGAGCAAAAUAUUCUAAGUAAACUCGACCGACUGAGUAUUUUACGGCUGUCCGUUAGUUAUUUAAGAACUAAAAGUUAUUUUCAAGUCGUGAUGCAUAAAUCUAAGGAAGAAAAUGGCAUAGGAAAUUCAGUACACCCUCACGAUUCAUAUCGAACGAGGGAAAUAGGAAGCUUUGAAACUGGUCCGCUGGAUGGAGAGAUGUUUCUACAGGCUUUAAACGGUUUCAUAAUUAUCCUGACCUGCGAAGGAGAGGUGUUCUUCGCCACCCACACUAUUGAAAGCUAUUUAGGUUUUCAUCAGUCCGACAUCGUGCAUCAGUCAGUUUACGAACUAGUGCACUCCGAAGAUCGGGAGGAGCUCCAGCGACAGUUACUAUGGAACACGUUUCUGCCGGCCGACCUCUCCGGAUUGCAGCUGACGGACGCACUAGUGCCUGAGAAAUCCACACUACUGGAAAGAAGUUUCACUGUGAGGUUCAGGUGUUUACUAGACAAUACGUCAGGGUUUUUGAGGCUAGACAUUCGAGGACGAGUGAAAAUAUUGCAUGGCCAAAACCGCAAAGUUGAAGAGCCGCCUCUGGCGCUGUUCGCUUUUUGCACACCAUUUGGACCACCUAGUCUAUUAGAAAUUCCACAGAAGGAAAAUAUGUUCAAAUCGAAACAUAAGCUAGAUUUUACGUUAGUUUCAAUGGAUCAGAAAGGUAAAAUGACAUUAGGAUACUCAGAUUCCGAGCUCGCAAAUAUGGGCGGUUAUGAUUUAGUACAUUUUGAUGACCUAGCCUACGUGGCAAGUGCACAUCAAGAACUGCUUAAGACUGGUGCAUCAGGCAUGAUAGCAUAUCGAUACCAAAAAAAGAACGGAGAAUGGCAGUGGCUGCAAACAAGUUCCAGAUUAGUUUAUAAGAAUUCAAAGCCGGACUUUAUCAUAUGCACUCAUAGGCAGCUUAUGGAAGAAGAAGGCAGAGACCUCCUCGGCAAACGGACAAUGGAUUUUAAAGUUAGCUAUUUAGAUACCGGACUAACAUCAACGUACUUUACUGACGCAGAUCAACUUAUCGUAACACCCAGUGGAUCCCCGAAUGCUUCUACUACAUCACCGGUUUCGUCUACGCAACGUUACAAUCGUCGCUACAAAACUCAACUUCGAGACUUUUUGUCCACGUGCCGAUCUAAACGAAAGCUGCAACAAUCUCCGGGAGGGCAGGUAACCUCUCCGGUGCAGAUGGUUGAGUAUGUGAACGAUCCUGCUGUAGCUGUUGCAGCAGCUUAUUCAAAUCUGAAUCCUAUGUACACAACAUCACCAUAUGUUUCGACCGAGAGUAUGUACAUGACUCCGCCGGCUCAUUCGUCAAACUUCUAUUCCGUAUCAGACAACAUAUUCCACCAAUACCGGCUCCAAGGCGUCAGUGGAUACUUCCCUGAGUAUGCAUCAACACCAGCUCCUUAUAUUACAAACAAUGGAUUUGUUCCUUAUGAAGGUUAUGGCAUAGCAAAAGACGAGCGAUGGCACGACGCUGAAAAAUGCAUGCCAGAAAACGAUAAUAUCAAUCGUGAUAUGGACAAUGAUUACGAAAGUCAUAACAUCCACAAGAAACACAAGCAAUCUCCUUCCCUCGAAGAUGUAUCAUCUUCAGCGAAAGCAGUUCCAUCGUCGGUUAACCUAACUAACACGUUGAUCCCAAACUCUGGUCAAGAUAGGCAGAAUUCCUCAAACAAUGUGAUCAACAGUAAUGUAAUCAAGAAUCCUAACACAACCAAAAGUCGCGAUACGAACGACAUGCCACACUCCGACAUGAAAGAAGAGGCAUUGUCGCCGCAGCAUUUUGAACCACGACGGCAAACCGUUCUUAUGUGGGGUACGUCACAAGCAUCCAAAAACAAAUACAAUUGUCCAACCUACAACAACGAUCACAAUUGUUCCAAUAUUACUACUCCAACUACCCCUAGUUGUACCACGAAUUGUUCGUCUUCACAAUCUCCUGCUUCCAAUGAUCGAAUUGUUGUUAAUUCAAAUGACGAAACCAAUUUAAAUCUCGAAAGGAAUGAAACAGGAAAGGUAAUCGUUGAGGGUGGAUAUUAUUUAAUUACAAUGCACGAUUGAAAACAGCAUCAGCGCCACCUAAAUUACAGCGGAGUGUUUAAGUAGCAAUAUGUACGUGCACAACCUAAGUAGCAUUCCCUAAGCCAAUUAAACAAUUCAAAAGUGAAUUAUAUUAGCUGCAACUCUACCAUGCAUAGACAGCACCUUUUUUGCGAUUAGUAGAGUAAGGAUCUUGGCAAAAACGACGACGUACUAGUCCUAACAUCGAGCAUCUCGAGUAACGAGCACAUUGAUGUUUCUCCACAUGACGAGAAGUUGGCCAACAGUCCUCUGUUAUCAUUAUCCGAUGUAACGAAUACAUUAUUGGAACAGUA